UUUUGGAUUAAUUCAGUGCGAUUCAGAAAUCGCGCCACUUUGGUUGAGAAUUUCGUCGCUGCAUUCGGAUUGUCAUGACAACGAAAUGAGAAUCUGGAGUCUGAAGCUCUGGAGGUAAACAUUUCAAAAAAUGGCCUCCCUCCUUGAACAAUGUGGUUGUCGUGAUCGGAAAUGUCUUCAUUGACUACGCGUUGUAUACGUGCUUGUGCUGAAUAUUUACCACACUCGUUUGUUUUUACAUUGACGACACGUUCUGGAUUGGAUUUUUUUUCUAGUUUGCUUAAAAUCAUGGAAAGAUUUUGUACCCUUCCUUGAGCAGCACUAAAUUGUUGGUGCUUGCAGCAAAACUCCUUCUAGAGUUAAUUGUUCACAAGAGUUGUUGGGUUUGGAAAUCAGUUUCUAAUUCUGUGGAUGGAUUCUAUUGGAAAUACAAAGGCAAUAUUGCCACCGAUUUCCACUGUUGUUACGUAGAGGUGGGAGGAGAUCAAAUUUGUGUGUUGCUGUCAUACACAUUAUUUUAAUGAUGAAUGGUUUUCCAGAAGUUUCAUCAAAAUGUCUUGGUGUGGUGUUAAUUUAUGACCAAGGUGCCGUUCCUCUCCUUCUUAUGCUGGCAAUGGAUGAUCCUUUCAAUUAUUCAACUUUAAAAAAUCAAAUGGAGAAAUUUCUUCUUUAACAACAACAAAAGUCCCUGGUUAUGAGGACUGGAUUCAUGCACUAGUGUUUAAGAAGUUCACCAAUUCGGAAACGAAUCAAGUAGAAUUCUGCUGGAGAGACCCUCUUUGCGAAGACCCUCUUUGCGAAGACCCUCUUUGCGAAGACCCAUGGCCUUCUGGUAUGCAUGAACAAAACCCAUAGUGAAAAAAAUUUCAGCACCUUCAGGUCUCUGUCUCAAGUAAAUCGCCCUACCAUGUCGAAAUCCAAAUACGUCCGCCCACCUACCGUUUCUACUCUUCACAACUUUGCAGCAAACGACAAUCGCUCAAUUGUUAUAGCCACAACUGCCGUUCGAUCGCAGACCGAUCGCCCAUCAAUCCGCUGUUAAUGAACCGAUCGCUUUUCCUGCUUACCAAUUACCAUCGCAGUCCUAUCUACCACCACCUGCACAAAAACCUACCACGGCUCGUCAAGUGACUCCGGCCCAGCAACCUGCCCGCCCUGCAUACCUAGCUGCUAACAAGCUUCAUCUGCUUUUCAACCUCAAUAGCAAGCACUCAGAGCCAGCAGAUAAAUUGUAGCACUAUUCCAGGUCCUCCAGUUCCGUCUCAUGCUAAAUGCACGGAGGAAUUCAGUAGUGUUAAUGGUGUUAUGGUAAACACACCUCUUUGGCUUUCGAGAAGAAAUAUCGUCGUGUCCAGUUGAUGCGUUGUUUGGAUACGGAGAACAACCAAGAAGGAUUUUUUUGCAGAGGUCCAUUCGGGUCCAUAGUAUAACGACCCAUGGCCUGCUGGUUGCCUAUGCCGUAACGAAUUCGAAUCGGAUAACACGAUUAUAAGUUGCAUUGUGCUAGAGUCU